AUUGAACGCUGGCGGCAGGCCUAACACAUGCAAGUCGAACGAGUGGCGGACGGGUGAGUAAUGUCUGGGAAACUGCCUGAUGGAGGGGGAUAACUACUGGAAACGGUAGCUAAUACCGCUUACCAUCAGAUCUUCUCAGAUGGGGUUAGCUUGUUGGGGGGGUCACGGCUCACCAAGGAGACGAUCCCUUGCUGUUCUGAGAGGAUGACCAGCCACUGUGGAACUGAGACACGGUCCAGACUCCUACGGGAGGCAGCAGUGGGGAAUAUUGCAAAAUGGGCGCAAGCCUGCUGCAGGCAUGCCGGGUGUAUGAAGAAGGCCUUCGGGUUGUAAAGUACUUUCAGCGGGGAGGCGUUACCCGCAGAAGAAGCACCGGCUAACUCCGUGCCAGCAGCCGCGGUAAUUC
rnacentral:rRNA from 1 species